ensembl:lncRNA novel transcript
ACCAUCUAUGAUCCCAAACGACUGAUAUGAAAAAAUGACUGCAACUACUUCUCUGAGUAGCAAGCCUAAAGAUGUAAAACCUAACCUUAGAUCAAGUGAAGAUCCUUCCUCCAAAAGUGGAGAUCUGUUGGAACCCAGUGAGGUGGAUUGGACGUCAGACCUCAAGAAAGUGGACCGGAUCGGGCUGGCUCUCCUGAGCAAGUCAGGUCUGAGUCGUCAGACGGGGUCAGCUGCUCACACCUCCCUGUGUCCUGCCAGGAGACUGUAGAUGAUGAUCAAAGAAUCAUCACUAAAGCUACGUCAACUGCAAGUUGUGAGCUCAGAGGCCGGGACCUGUUCCCAGCGGAACCAUUCAUGGCUCUGCAGCUGAGACGCAGAACAUGGGGCUGCGGUGCCUGCACUCUUGAUGUCACCCCUCCCAGCACAGCUUCCUUCAGCCAGAGGUAUUGAAGAACACUCCCUUCAGCUGGAAGUGUCGCCCUGCCUCAGUGCCAGGCUGGCAGGGCCAUAGCCUGUGGCUUCUCAGGAGGCCAUCCCUAUCCAGCUGUCACGGGAGAGCAUGUGCAGAACUCUGUGGCUGUGGAAUUUGGGACCAAAUACCGGCUCUGGAUGGAUGGGCACCUCUUCCAUCUGCGACCCAUAUUCUGAUGCCUCACAUCGGAACCUGCUAAGCACAGCGAAGCCUUUUCCUGUGCAUUCUAUUGGUACAAACUGGAAAGAAACCACGAGAUUCAGGAAUGACAUCAGUACUGGGUAGAAACAGAACAGAAAGCCAUUCUUGAUUUUGGUGACUGGAGUUGUGGAGGCUGGAAGUCUCUGCCAAUAAAAGCACUGAACUGGACACACACCACUUACCAAUCAAGUUGAUUCUCAAUGUUAGCACCGUGGCCUGGCAAGAUCGGACGUUUUCCGAGGAACCCGGCUGAGCUCCUGUGAGAGCUGCUCCCUGCACUGAUGUGGUCCCUUGGCUGGCAGGCUGCUCUGUGAUCAACCAGGUGACACCUGCCUGUUAUGAGGGACAGGUAGGAGAGGAUGGGCUUUCCAUCAAAACAAACAAAAAAAAGUAAGUUUUUCAAACUCCUUUUCUUUCAUUCAGAUUUCCUCUUAAUACUAGUAUAUAUUAAUUUUUAAAUUUUUAUUUCAUAAGGUCCAGAAUUUCUGAUAAUAUCACUUCUUUUCCAGAGUCCCAAGAAGGAACUCGGCUCUUCAGAGAUUCAGGACUCAGGAGAAGACUUCGUAGUGAGAGUUGACGUAGAAGUUGACAGCCCAAACCCCACACCAGUUCUUAGAAGUAUUGAUCUCCAAGAAAGAGCAGAAAGAGCUACAACUCCUGCUCCCAGGGACUUACAGGUCCCAGAAUGAGAAAGUCCCUCUUUAGUGGAUCUAGAGAAUCUAUUCGUUAAACCUGGAGAAGAACAUGAGGUUAUAGUUUCUUUUUCUCCAAGGGAUCCCAAAGUUUGGGAGGAAAGGAUCUAAAAAAUGUUUGUGCAGCCAUUUGGACCUCAGUAUGAAGUGGUGUUAAAAGGUGAAGUCCAUUCUUCAGGAAGUAAACCUCUGCCACGUGGAUCAUGCUCAGACAUCCUAUUGAAGUUUGUCCAACAAUUUCUUGCUUUGGAAGGUGUCUCUCUUGGUGGAACACAGUUUCACCUUUUGCUGGAACUCAGAGCUACAAAUGAUGCUUAAUGUACCAAUGCCUUCUGACUGAACUCCUCUCUGCCCUGAAUACAAGAGACCCUAAUAGUUAUGUGGAAAUAUCAUCGCCCCGUUCAGCAUGAAGAAGUUACAAAAGAUGGACCUUCAUCCUUCUGCAACCCUUAGGAUUAAGGGUCCUCUUGUAAAAGGGAGGGGAAAUAUGUAAGAAGCAUUCAAACCAGAGCGACUCCAUUUUGAACAAGGGCUAAGAAAAAUGAAGCUGGGUCCUGUUGGGCUGCAUGCCCAGGAGGUUAAGCAUUCUUAGCCUCAAGAUGUUUACAAUUGAGGGAACAGAUUAAUAAUGUUUCCUAAACAGACUCAGGACUUAACAGACUCAGGAACGUCUUGAUACUUUGAGAACAAAAGCACUUCUAGUUUUAAAUACGCAUUGUACCUAGGCUGGAUGCUUUUCUUACUUUUGGAAAUGCCCUACCCUGUCUAUGGAGUCACUAUUCAUUCCCUCCUUUAUUAAAGUUGCUUCUAUUUUGCACUGUGGA